UACGUAGGUGACCAGCGUUGUCCGGAUUUACUGGGCGUAAAGAGCUCGUAGGCGGUUUGUCGCGUCUGCUGUGAAAGCCCGGGGCUCAACCCCGGGUCUGCAGUGGGUACGGGCAGACUAGAGUGCAGUAGGGGAGACUGGAAUUCCUGGUGUAGCGGUGAAAUGCGCAGAUAUCAGGAGGAACACCGAUGGCGAAGGCAGGUCUCUGGGCUGUAACUGACGCUGAGGAGCGAAAGCGUGGGGAGCGAACAGG
rnacentral:rRNA from 1 species